AGAGUUUGAAUCAUGGCUCAGAUUGAACGCUGGCGCCAGGCCUAACACAUGCAAGUCGAACGGUAACAUUUCUAGCUUGCUAGAAGAUGACGAGUGGCGGACGGGUGAGUAAUGCUUGGGACCUUGCCUUUGCGAGGGGGAUAACAGUUGGAAACGACUGCUAAUACCGCAUAAUGUUUUCGAACCAAACGGGGCUUAGGCUCCGGCGCAAAGAGAGGCCCAAGUGAGAUUAGCUAGUUGGUAAGGUAACGGCUUACCAAGGCGACGAUCUCUAGCUGUUCUGAGAGGAAGAUCAGCCACACUGGGACUGAGACACGGCCCAGACUCCUACGGGAGGCAGCAGUGGGGAAUAUUGCACAAUGGGGGAAACCCUGAUGCAGCCAUGCCGCGUGUGUGAAGAAGGCCUUCGGGUUGUAAAGCACUUUCAGUUGUGAGGAAAAGUUAGUAGUUAAUACCUGCUAGCCGUGACGUUAACAACAGAAGAAGCACCGGCUAACUCCGUGCCAGCAGCCGCGGUAAUACGGAGGGUGCGAGCGUUAAUCGGAAUUACUGGGCGUAAAGCGCACGCAGGCGGUUUGUUAAGCUAGAUGUGAAAGCCCCGGGCUCAACCUGGGAUGGUCAUUUAGAACUGGCAGACUAGAGUCUUGGAGAGGGGAGUGGAAUUCCAGGUGUAGCGGUGAAAUGCGUAGAUAUCUGGAGGAACAUCAGUGGCGAAGGCGACUCCCUGGCCAAAGACUGACGCUCAUGUGCGAAAGUGUGGGUAGCGAACAGGAUUAGAUACCCUGGUAGUCCACACCGUAAACGCUGUCUACUAGCUGUGUGUGCCUUUAAGGCGUGCGUAGCGAAGCUAACGCGAUAAGUAG
rnacentral:rRNA from 1 species